UACCAGCACCCCGAGUGGUCGGGACGAUUAUUGGGCCUAAAGCAUCCGUAGCCGGUCAUGCAAGUCCUCCGUUAAAUCCAGCUGCUUAACAGAUGGGCUGCGGAGGAUACUACAAGGCUAGGAGGCGGAAGAGGCAAGCGGUACUCAGUGGGUAGGGGUAAAAUCCUCUGAUCCAUUGAAGACCACCAGUGGCGAAGGCGGCUUGCCAAUACGCGCUCGACGGUGAGGGAUGAAAGCUGGGGGAGCAAACCGG
rnacentral:rRNA from 1 species